rnacentral:lncRNA from 1 species
UCUCUCCCUGGGCUUUUCUCUGAGCAAACCUAUUUUGCUGGGGUGUGGAGGGAGCUCCUUUCAUGGGACUGAAGAGCUUCCAGAAUCCACAGAAGGUGCUGUCAGUGAUAAAGCAAAAAUGUUAUGGACGCUGCAGGAAGCAAGAAAGCCCAACGUGACAGUCAUGCGCGGCACUCGCGGGUCUCCAAGGGGGACAAACCCACCAGAAGCGUCCCGUGCCAAGAACAGAAGCAAGGAAAGGAGCGCUGUGAAGGAAAGAAAGAGAAAAGCGCUUUCCAUUCUCCAACAACAGACGUGACACUACACUUUUAAAAUUUCACAAGUUUCCAGAUCUGUUCAAAGGCAACACUCGAUCCCGGAGUUCAGUCUGCCUCAAAGGUCUGCAAAAGUCUUGAAACUGAGUUUCAUUGGCUACGAUUGAGACAUGGGCCUGAACCAAUUACUGAGGCUGCAAAGUGAAUCGUUCUAAUGGGUCACACAGGCUUCACACUCCCACUCCUGAAGCCAGAUGGAACUUCAAAGCUCUUAAGGAAAUUAACGAAAAUGCAAGCCUUUUUGUGAUGAGAAGCAUACCAAGAGCCGAAGGAGAGGGUGAAUAAUACCAGUGUAUGUUUCAGUUAGGAUGAUUUCAAAAGCAGGUAUGAAAUAUUCUCCUCCAAGUAGCUUGUCCAAUGGGGUUGCUACGGUUUCAACAAUAAGAGGCGUGGAGGAAGGCAGUCAAGAGAUGGCUUGAGGGCCCAGCAGAGUCAUUGAAGACCUAGAAUAUCUCCAUUCGUUUGCUCAAUCAUUCUUGCCAUAUUGGCUUUUUAUCCUUAGGCAUUUGUCUUCAUGGUUGCAAUACAGCUGCUGCAGCCCCAACCAUCACACCUUCAUAAAGUACUAACCAAAGACAGGAAGACCAGGGAAUGGGUAAGAGGCCUCCUAAUUCAUCUCAAUUU